AGAUUUGGUGCACAGAGGAGCUUGGUGCCAGGUGGCCCCAGGGCAGAGAAGUGGCAUCAGUGCUGGGGUGCUGAAGAGCAGCUCUGUACAAGGCCAUGAAAACUCCUUAAAAGGUGCUGGAGUAGUGUCUCUGGCUUUUUUCAAUUAAGCUUAAUGACCAAGUUAAAAAAAACCUCCAAACAUAGCUGGAUGCUGGAGCUCAUGAUAACGCUUAUCUUCUCUAUACAUCCAAAGCCUCUCCUUGCCUUAUUUCCAGUUCUCACUGACAUGUGCAUUAAACACAUUUCUUGCAGCAGAGCACUAGUAAAAGCUACAGGGGCAGCCAAGGAAGGUAAGCAAGAAAUUGAGAAGUGUCUGAAGUCCACAGGCGAGGCAAUUCCCACAGAUCUGCCAUUCUCUGAUCUCCCCUCAUCAAGGUCUCCUUCUCCUCACAUAGACUAGACUAGACUCUUUCAGUUGGAAGGGACCUACAACGAUCACCUAGUCCAACCGCCUGACCAUUUCAGGGCUGACCAAAAGUUAAAGCAUGUUAUUAAGGGCAUUGUCCAAAUGCCUCUUAAACGCGGGGAGGCUUGGGGCAUCGACCACCUCUCGAGGAAGCCUGUUCUAGUGUUUGACCAUCCUCUCGGUAAAGAAAUGCUUCCUCAUGUUACGUCUGAGCCUCCCCUGGCGCAGCUUUGAACCAUUCCCACGCAUGACGCGUGGAUCCCAGGGAGUAGAGAGCAGCACCUCCCUCUCCACGUCCCCUCCUCAGGAAGCUGCAGAGAGCAAUGAGGUCGCCCCUCAGCCUCCUUUUCUCCAAACAAGACAAACCCAGAGUGCUCAGCCGCUCCUCAGAGGACAUGCCUUCCAGCUGUAGAUCUGCUCCGGAGAACUGGGAUUUUGAGGAAAUGACGUUCAAAGGACAUGCUAGACCUGGAAAAGGUGGGGGGUCCCCACUCCCAGGGACCUUGCUUUGUCCUCUCCUGCUAACUCCUGCUCUUAGGAGAAGAAAAGGUGAAUGUAGGUGAAGGGGAACAUUGCCUGGGUCCAGCCUGGAUUCCUUCUUCUCCAGCUACAUUGCUGGUUGGACCCUCUUAGUGCCAACUCGUCACCUUUGUGGUGGCAGCUGGGCACAGGCAACAGCAUUGGUGUCCCUGGUCUCCUCCAAUGCCAUGGGGUCUGGUCCUCGCAUCUCUGGAGAAUAGCCAAGGAGGCGGCCGAGUUGCGUGCCGACCAGCUGCCUGGUGCCCGGAGCCCCGGGUCCUGCGGAGAGAUCCCAGCCACGAGCACACACAUACCUGCAGAGUCCCAAAACCAAUCCUGAAACGUGAGGGGUCUCUUUGAAGCACAGAGCACCCUCCUUGUCAUGGGAAACACCCCAAAGGACUUGUCCCGUGUGGUGAGGAACACCUACCUCAACCAAGAAAAGGAAAUUGCUUUCUGAAAGCCAGCUUAGCCACCCUGAUGCAGGCAGGGUGAGACCGGAGGAAAGCUGGGUUUCUCAACAGAUGGGUGCCCUGGAUCCUCUUCACUGGAAUUUUGUGUUUUGGAGGGUGAGAAAAGGUUUAAUGGGUUCCUCUUUGCUGUGCCCCCCCCAAAAAUAAUAAUAAAAAAACCCCAACUCUUUGGCAGCUGAGUUGCAUAAUUGCAGCGUUUUGGUAGGAAAUACAACAAUUUCAUGUAGGAUCGCACCAUGAAGACUCACAGGAGUUUACAUUCAGCGCUCUUCUUGUGCAAGAGGUAUCUCUGCGUUCUGGUGCCACUGCAGAGCCUGCGUGGACGGCGCGUCACAGCUGCGACCAAGCAAAGGCAUGGGGCCGGCAGUCGACCCGCUGCCGCACCGGUCGGUGGCCGGGCAUGGAGGCCAGCGGGGAACUCACGAAGCCCACGGUCUCGUCAGCACCAAGGUGGGGCCUGUCCUGGCAGCAAAGGCAGAGCAGGGUGUUGAUCAGACCUACGUGAUCCUCCCUGUGCCCGGGGGAACAGGCUGCAGCGACGGGCAGUGGAGGCAACUCAAUAAACAGUUUUUUCUCAACGCUA